rnacentral:lncRNA from 1 species
CAAUGCUAAAAGUGAAAGGAAGAGGAAGCCAUACUAAAAGGCCAAGUUGACAUUUUGCGUUACCAAAAUAACAUUCGAAGUCUAACAAAAUAACAUUUUUGUGCCUGUAAUGCAUGCAUCUUACCUUCAAGAAAAUGGCAUCAGCCACAGCCGUGUCUAGACCUCCUCCAACAUCAACAAUCAAUCUCACGCCAUCAAACCCUUGUUUAUAAGUCGACAAGAUUGCUUUCAUGACAAUUCUAGACGUGCAUGACUCUUUGAAGUAAAUUCCCAAAUCAGAUUUCUCACUUGGGAUCAUAUAAUUUACAGUUUAGUUUUUGUAAGAGAAUUUGAUUUAAAAAUGACUUAUUAUUUUAUUUUCUCCUUUUUUAGCUUUCCAGAGCAAGUAAUUGGUUUUUAACGGAAAUACAAUUUUUUGGUGGAGUUUUAGUACGAGACCAGUUGGAGAUGAAAGCUAAGAUCCUGAAGAUGAUUGUGGAAUUUUUCUAGAAUUUUCAGAGCAGCCAAUGAGAGCAGUCUUUGAAGUUAAUUCAGCAUGAGGUGCAAUCUCGUCAGAACUGUGCUACUGUGGAAGAAUGACUAUUUGAAGACUUUCCUAUUUUUUUUUCUCAAGGCAUGCGAUAUAUGACUGGAAAGAUAAGACAAAGACCUGCAAUUUACGUAUUUUUUUUGAAUUUCCUUGGAGGAGGAACAACCCCAAACUUGCAUGCAAAGUAACUGACGUGUUAUCCCAGUCAAAGUAGGAAGAUGAGUCAAUUACUUACCCAUUUUGGAUUUAUGCUUUAAUUAGGGUUUUCUUUAUUUUUGGGCUGCUGUAAAAGCCCAGCUAGGGUAGAAAUAGACGUGUGGUGUUUUAUUUAAGCAUGAGAAACAACUCUUUUGGGAGUUAGACACGCAAAGACUAGGAGAAAUUUGAGACGCCGGAAGAGUACCACAAUUGGUUAAGUUUUAUUGUUUCUUCCUUAUGUUUUUGCUUAUGUCGAGUUCUAUGAUUAUGUGUAAUUAAUUUUCUUUUGCUAGGGCAUGAUGUAGCCCUAGUAUGAUAAUCUAGUUUUCUUAUUUUACCUAUCUAUUGAUCGCCGUUUGAUGUUGGAUUCUUAAUCACUGUGCUUAAUAACUUGGUUGAUUAUCUUGAUGCUUAAUUACCAUCUAGACUUUUAAUUGAGUUAAUCGGAUGCAAAUUAGAGUAAAUACCAUAUUUAAUUUGAUGUUUGCUUCUUGUGAUUAGGAUUUGUAAUUCGUCUAGGGUAAAUACCAUACUCCAAAGGUUUACAUGCUUGGUCGAGAUUUUCACUGACCUUAAUGAGUUUCUAUGUGUUGAUAUUUGACCUAAAUACCAUAGACAAAUUGCAUGUAAGAAUAUAUAAGUUAGC